rnacentral:lncRNA from 1 species
GCAAGACUGCCACGAGCAAGCAGGAGUCCAUCACCACAUCCUGCAGCUCUCAGUUUGGUAGGUUGAGCAUAGCACAAAGUGCAAAACUGCAGCACCCAUUUGGAGAUGCCCAGCCCACGCAUAGCAAGCCAAUGAUGGUAAAGCCGUCAAACAAUUCCAGCCAAACCCAAGGGGACCCAGUAAGGAAAAAACACAGAAGAAAGUAAAUGAGGCUCCAGGGAAAUUAAGCCAAAGUGGAAGUCCUGGCAGAGUAGGGUAAUAAUUUCCUUUCUGAAUGAGUAACUGUUUAGAAUUUAACCAGGCGAACACGAUUAAACCAAAUGAAUAUAAAUUCUAGGUGCGGCAGUAAGUAAUGAACUGAAGAAAAUGAACAGGGUCUAAUUAACAAGAAAAUAGGAUAUGCCAUAAUGCAUUGAAAUCUAAUGAAAAAUGAAAGUAGAACUUCCCCUUUUGAUAUUUUUUUUUCCAGAUGGAAAAUAUCCUUGUUUUACAUCUAGCAUGUCCUAAAAUAUUCAGGGGAUUACAGUUGCUGAGAACUGUACUUACCAUAUAACCAGACAACAUGGGAAAAGGGAGCUAUUUUGCAAAACACUGGAGAAGUACAUUACUUGAAAGAUAACUGUCCAGAACUCUGCUCAAACAUAAAACCAGAAGUUCCAUCUUCACAUUAAAGUGUAACGCAGCUGCUUAAAGGAGGAAUACAAAGCAGCCUGCCUGGGUUAGUGCCAUUACAAGAGGCAGUACUGGGGAUGGUAGAGGCGAUCAGACAGAGUAUUGCAGCAAUAAAACAGAAUGAAGAAACGAAGUGCUCAGUUCUCCAAUCAACGCCGUGGGUUUUUUUCUCUUUUAUUAUUAAAAAAAACAACUAUCCUCCAUCCUCGAGGCCUGGCUUCACAACAGCUAUUUGUAGUCACACUGAAAAGUUACCUCAUCCUACUGCUUGCAGCUGAGCUCUCAAAGUAGCAACCUGUUAAAAGAAGAAAAGGUUGACAAUCUAAGGACAAGACACACAAAGCUUCCCAUCACAAUUUCUCAACCCUCCAGGAAUCCAGACUCAUUCCAAGCUUUCCUGCACCUGGGUGCCAUCCAUUUAUGUUUGAUCAGAACUAUUUGGCAAUUAUUUGAAGGCCCCUUAUAUUAGUGUGGAAGUGGCCUGCUGUACAGCAUCAUCAGUUUUGUGUUGUAGUCAGCUCAAGUGUGCUCAAGCCACCAGUCGGCAGUUGCUGUCAUCAGUGAGGGCUCCAGGAGCCUCCCCUACUGCACUGAGCAGCUUCACUGAGUGCACUGCCCACUCCUGAAGCUGCAGGAGCUUGCUCAUGCAGCUAAGCCAACUGCAGCCACCACUCAUUGAGCAAGGACAAGGUCAUAGAAGGGCUUGGGUUGGAAGGAACCUUAAAGCCCCUCCAGCCCCACCUCCUGCUGUGGGCUUAUUAUCCCCCACCAGCUCAGGCUGCCCAGGGCCCCAUCCCACCUGGCCUUGAAUGCCUGCAAGGAUGAGGCACCCACAGCUCUCUGGGCNUAGCAGCUGUUGCAUGUGCUUCUGUCACAGAGUUGCUCACCUGCUCCCUGGUGAUGCUGCAGGGCAGUGCUGUCACAUAGGGUUGUGCUUUUAUCCUUAUGCUUUGGCAGGGGAUCUGUCUGCCAGUUUUGGGCAUGGGCAGUGCCCAAGCUGAGGCUUUUCUUUGAUUUGAUUAUUUUCUGUACCCUUGGAAGCCCUUCUGAAUUAUCAUGCUAGUGCUGAAUGCUGCAUCUGACUCCAGUUAAGCGAGGCAUGUUGGCCAGAACUUCACAGCCUGAUUGCAGCUUCCCCAGCUGGGCAUUAAGGCAGUUGUGGUAUCUUGUUUUGGAAGCUGGGUUAUGUACUUUUGCAGAUUGCUGAUGAUACUUGAGAGCUAAUUAAGCACGUGGAAACAGUUAGCAUCUUACAAGUUCGUUUCAUAUCCAAAUCGCUCCAACCUGUGUUUGUGGAUCUCAUUUUUCUCCUCAGGGAGCAGCCAUGCAUCUCAGGACAGUAAUUCAUCAUGUUUACCGCACGGUGCAGCCAGCCUGGGCCCAUCUGGCACACCUCAUCCAGCCAGCAGGUAUGAGGCUGCACCAGAGCUACACGUGCAUUGUUCACGUUGGAAAACUGGCAAUAGUCUCGUGGUAGAAACUUUUAAGACUAACUUU